GACGAACGCUGGCGGCGUGCUUAACACAUGCAAGUCGAACGGAAAGGCCCUGCUUUUGUGGGGUGCUCGAGUGGCGAACGGGUGAGUAACACGUGAGUAACCUGCCCUGGACUUUGGGAUAACUUCAGGAAACUGGGGCUAAUACCGGAUAGGAGCUCCUGCUGCAUGGUGGGGGUUGGAAAGUUUCGGCGGUUGGGGAUGGACUCGCGGCUUAUCAGCUUGUUGGUGGGGUAGUGGCUUACCAAGGCUUUGACGGGUAGCCGGCCUGAGAGGGUGACCGGCCACAUUGGGACUGAGAUACGGCCCAGACUCCUACUGGAGGCAGCAGUGGGGAAUAUUGCACAAUGGGCGGAAGCCUGAUGCAGCAACGCCGCGUGCGGGAUGACGGCCUUCGGGUUGUAAACCGCUUUCGCCUGUGACGAAGCGUGAGUGACGGUAAUGGGUAAAGAAGCACCGGCUAACUACGUG
rnacentral:rRNA from 1 species